AUAGAACGUUGGCGGCGUGGAUUAGGCAUGCAAGUCGAACGGGCCGCAAGGCCAGUGGCGGAAGGGUGAGUAAUGCGACGGUAACCAACCCCGGAAAUGGGUAUAGCCGCGGGAAACUGCGGGUAAUCCCCAGCGACGUGUCGGGUCGGCAUCGACCUGACACCAAAGCUCCGGCGUUCCGGGACGGGCCGUUGUGGUCUUAGCUAGUUGGCGGGGUAACGGCCCACCAAGGCUGCGAUGCCUACCGGGCGUGCGAGCGUGGCCCGGCACACUGGGACUGAGACACUGUCCAGACUCCUACGGGAGGCUGCAGUCGAGAAUCUUCGGCAAUGGGCGCAAGCCUGACCGAGCGACGCCGCGUGGAGGACGAAGGCCUUCGGGUUGUAAACUCCUGUCGAGGGGGAGGAAGGCGCAAGCUUGACCGAUCCCUGGAGGAAGCACGGGCUAAGUUCGUGCCAGCCGCCGCGGUAACAC
rnacentral:rRNA from 1 species